CCGUGUUUUUCGUUUUUUUUGUUGCUAUUGAACUGCAUAAUAUAUCUCCCUGAAAGUAUUAUGUUUAAAAGCACCGGUUGAUGUUCUGUUUCAUUCUUUUCCUUUGUAAGAGCUUCUUGUGGUAGAUUAAAGAGGUGUAUACUUCUUCUAAGAACUACUAUAUUUUUUCUGUAUAUUAGGGUUUGUUUGGAUUGGUUCCUAUACUUGCCCAACCAAAUAAUUGGCGUUGACAGAGCGAUGGGCGUUUGUUUCGAUUGGCGCCGAUAAAUUAGCUCGCCCGCUGCUCGUCAGCCCUUUGCGUUCAGUUUUCCGCCAAAUCAUUGGCAAGGCGGGGACGGCCGAAACCUCCACCAAUUUUUUGGCUAGCCCAUGGUUGGCGGGGCGGGCAUUGGCAGAAUCCAAACAACCUCUUAUGCUUUUCAUUCAGUUAAGAGUAUGAACUCAUGUUCUAGGAAUUGAAUGUGAUAGUUCAUGUUCAGCGGAUUUCGCUGGCAGAUACACACGGUGCUCACGAGCGCCUCGAGCAACAUGGAUCCGAUGUUUAUGAUGAAUCAUUUCAUGAUUAGUUAGAGGCUGCAGUGAAACAUUACUAUAUGUGACAAGUAUUUCUUUUCUUAAGCUGUUGUUGUUGUUUUUCAUUUCUGAAAUUUAUCUUUUGAUGCCUAAUUCAGACAACAUAGCACAUUACCUUUCUGCUAAAUUUUAUAAGUGACAAAAUAUGUUUCAGAUACAUCACUGCCGCUUUUUGUUUUACUCUUUUUCUGAAGUAAAUAGCUUCAUUCUUAUGCUUCACAAUUUCCAGUGGGAAAAAUCACAUUUCAUAUUUCUAACGCUAUAUUGUAUCAUACAAUGAACAGAGUGAAGAGAAUGACCAGCCAGAGUACAUCCGCGGAACAUCUUGUGGGAUCCAGUACUUCGAAGAGCUUGAAGAUCAUUGUUACAGGGGUAAUGAGGUUAAGCUCUAUGAACACCAGGUAGACGCUCUCUUUGCUAUGUUCUGGCACAAGGAGCCAGACAUCAAGUACUACAUGUGCACAAUCAAUAAAACAUUUGCUAAGCCAGGCCACCGCAUGGUACAAUAUACUGAAGACAACCUGCUGGACUAUAUUGAUCCCAACAAUGAUACACUCAUGGUCAGGCUUGCGGAUGCCCGUCUACGCGUCGAAUGUCGCAUUAUGCUAGGAACUGACAAGAGGGCCACUAUAACCACCAGCUGGUCUGAGUUUCGUCGCCGUGCCAACAUUCGCGAAGGAGACAUCUGUGCUUUUCAUUUCAGGGUCACUUCAAAGCGCCGCGUGUUCUCACCGUGCACUGCCUCUAGAUCCACCAUCGAAGACACCACAGUUCCUGUGUGAAUAUAAUCUAGCACAGUACAUUGAAUUAUGCUCGUGAUUAACCGAUGGUUUACUUUUGGACCCUGCUAUCUCAUGAUUUUGAAGAUCUGAAAGCUAUGCCGUUGCCUAUGUAAACUCUACUAUUCUCAGUCAUGUGGUUUACAUCCACCUGUUCAGAUCCAUAAUGGCACUCUUUUAUAUAUAUCUAUUAAUUUCUACUCC